ensembl:lncRNA
AUGAGCCACUGACAUGAAUACCCUGCCCUUGACUGAGCCAGGAUGCGAUCUCACGACUGCAUGUGAAAGCGCUCACUGGCACGGUGCCCGUCAGAUCGAGACGUCAGAGCCGCACACACUCACGCUGGCACGGGUCCCAUCGCUGCGUCCGCCCAUGCGAGGCCACCGGGCUGUGACGUUACAGAGGGAAAAUUUUGGGAUGACGCAUGCCGGUUCUCUGCGUGGAAUCAUUUUGGCUGCAUGGUGUUUCUGGCACAUAGUCGAGCAGUUGGACCAGACCAAUCACCUCAUGCCUGUUUGACAGCCAUGGUUCUCUGAAAGCAGCAUUUGAAACUUUUGUUUUUUAAAUCGAUUUCAAGGAAAUAAUCAGGAAAGUGAGACUGUGGCAAAAAGUUACAUUUUACAACAUUCAAAUUAUUUUUCUUAAACAUGUCUGGUCUUAUGUUGCACAUUUGACAAAUGAAGACUUGUGAAACUGAAUGUGCACUUUUAGUAUAGCCUACUUCAGAUGUUAAAGGUGUAUAUUUAUGAACUGUACUGAUAUUUAACUGUUAAUAAACCCACUUAAGUGACUUAAAAAGAGACA